CAGAGGGUAGUUUAAAGUUAGAAUCCUAGCUUUGGGAGCUAGGGGCGGGGGUUAAAGUCCCCCCUCUCUGA
rnacentral:tRNA from 1 species